rnacentral:rRNA from 1 species
CCUACGGGGGGCUGCAGUGGGGAAUAUUGGACAAUGGGGGCAACCCUGAUCCAGCCAUGCCGCGUGUGUGAAGAAGGCCCUCGGGUUGUAAAGCACUUUCAGUGAGGAAGAACGCCUGGUGGUUAAUACCCAUCAGGAAAGACAUCACUCACAGAAGAAGCACCGGCUAACUCCGUGCCAGCAGCCGCGGUAAUACGGAGGGUGCGAGCGUUAAUCGGAAUUACUGGGCGUAAAGCGCGCGUAGGUGGCUUGAUAAGCCGGUUGUGAAAGCCCCGGGCUCAACCUGGGAACGGCAUCCGGAACUGUCAAGCUAGAGUGCAGGAGAGGAAGGUAGAAUUCCCGGUGUAGAGGUGAAAUGCGUAGAGAUUGGGAGGAAUACCAGUGGCGAAGGCGGCCUUCUGGACUGACACUGACACUGAGGUGCGAAAGCGUGGGUAGCAAACAGGAUUAGAUACCCUAGUAGUC